rnacentral:lncRNA from 1 species
CCUGCACGCAUCCUCCCGCUCUCUGCCUGCAUGGGCUGGCCACUCUCCCCCUCGCGCUUCCUGCUGCCGCUGCCGCCGUUCUAAAUCGAUCGCGGAGCAACAGAUAGGCGCCGGAAUCGAUGCCAUCGCCGUUCCUCCCCUUCCCUUGUCUUCCUCUCCCCCGGGCACCUGCACGCGCCUGCCCUAGCGCCAGGCCCCGCAGCAGCAGGGAACAGAGUCUCAGAAAGUUAAUAAGCUAUGGAACACGAGUUUACUCCGCUGGAAUGUCUCCUUCCCACUGA